rnacentral:rRNA from 1 species
GAUGAACGCUAGCUACAGGCUUAACACAUGCAAGUCGAGGGGCAGCAUGGUCUUAGCUUGCUAAGGCCGAUGGCGACCGGCGCACGGGUGAGUAACACGUAUCCAACCUGCCGUCUACUCUUGGACAGCCUUCUGAAAGGAAGAUUAAUACAAGAUGGCAUCAUGAGUCCGCAUGUUCACAUGAUUAAAGGUAUUCCGGUAGACGAUGGGGAUGCGUUCCAUUAGAUAGUAGGCGGGGUAACGGCCCACCUAGUCUUCGAUGGAUAGGGGUUCUGAGAGGAAGGUCCCCCACAUUGGAACUGAGACACGGUCCAAACUCCUACGGGAGGCAGCAGUGAGGAAUAUUGGUCAAUGGGCGAGAGCCUGAACCAGCCAAGUAGCGUGAAGGAUGACUGCCCUAUGGGUUGUAAACUUCUUUUAUAAAGGAAUAAAGUCGGGUAUGCAUACCCGUUUGCAUGUACUUUAUGAAUAAGGAUCGGCUAACUCCGUGCCAGCAGCCGCGGUAAUACGGAGGAUCCGAGCGUUAUCCGGAUUUAUUGGGUUUAAAGGGAGCGUAGAUGGAUGUUUAAGUCAGUUGUGAAAGUUCGCGGCUCAACCGUAAAAUUGCAGUUGAUACUGGAUAUCUUGAGUGCAGUUGAGGCAGGCGGAAUUCGUGGUGUAGCGGUGAAAUGCUUAGAUAUCACGAAGAACUCCGAUUGCGAAGGCAGCCUGCUAAGCUGCAACUGACAUUGAGGCUCGAAAGUGUGGGUAUCAAACAGGAUUAGAUACCCUGGUAGUCCACACGGUAAACGAUGAAUACUCGCUGUUUGCGAUAUACAGCAAGCGGCCAAGCGAAAGCGUUAAGUAUUCCACCUGGGGAGUACGCCGGCAACGGUGAAACUCAAAGGAAUUGACGGGGGCCCGCACAAGCGGAGGAACAUGUGGUUUAAUUCGAUGAUACGCGAGGAACCUUACCCGGGCUUAAAUUGCAGAUGAAUUACGGUGAAAGCCGUAAGCCGCAAGGCAUCUGUGAAGGUGCUGCAUGGUUGUCGUCAGCUCGUGCCGUGAGGUGUCGGCUUAAGUGCCAUAACGAGCGCAACCCUUGUUGUCAGUUACUAACAGGUUCCGCUGAGGACUCUGACAAGACUGCCAUCGUAAGAUGUGAGGAAGGUGGGGAUGACGUCAAAUCAGCACGGCCCUUACGUCCGGGGCUACACACGUGUUACAAUGGGGGGUACAGAGGGCCGCUACCACGCGAGUGGAUGCCAAUCCCAAAAACCUCUCUCAGUUCGGACUGGAGUCUGCAACCCGACUCCACGAAGCUGGAUUCGCUAGUAAUCGCGCAUCAGCCACGGCGCGGUGAAUACGUUCCCGGGCCU